rnacentral:rRNA from 1 species
CCUACGGGAGGCUGCAGUGGGGAAUAUUGGACAAUGGGCGAAAGCCUGAUCCAGCCAUGCCGCGUGUGUGAAGAAGGCCUUCGGGUUGUAAAGCACUUUCAGUGGGGAAGAAAGCCUUGGGGCUAAUACCCUCGAGGAAGGACAUCACCCACAGAAGAAGCACCGGCUAACUCCGUGCCAGCAGCCGCGGUAAUACGGAGGGUGCGAGCGUUAAUCGGAAUUACUGGGCGUAAAGCGCGCGUAGGCGGUCUGAUAAGCCGGUUGUGAAAGCCCCGGGCUCAACCUGGGAACGGCAUCCGGAACUGUCAGGCUAGAGUGCAGGAGAGGUAGGUAGAAUUCCCGGUGUAGCGGUGAAAUGCGUAGAGAUCGGGAGGAAUACCAGUGGCGAAGGCGGUCUUCUGGACUGACACUGACGCUGAGGUGCGAAAGCGUGGGUAGCAAACAGGAUUAGAUACCCCUGUAGUC